rnacentral:rRNA from 1 species
UCAGCCGCCGCGGUAAAACCAGCACCUCGAGUGGUCAGGAGGUUUAUUGGGCCUAAAGCAUCCGUAGCCGGUUGCAUAAGUUUUCGGUUAAAUCUAUGCGCUUAACGUAUAGGCCGCCGAAAAUACUGUGCAGCUAGGGAGUGGGAGAGGUACACGGUACUCGAUAGGAAGGGGUAAAAUCCUUUGAUCUAUUGAUGACCACCUGUGGCGAAGGCGGUGUACCAGAACACGUUCGACGGUGAGGGAUGAAAGCUGGGGGAGCAAACCGGAUUAGAUACCCAGGUAGUCCCAGCUGUAAACGAUGCAGACUCGGUGAUGCAUUGGCUUGUGGCCAAUGCAGUGCCGCAGGGAAGCCGUUAAGUCUGCCGCCUGGGAAGUACGUACGCAAGUAUGAAACUUAAAGGAAUUGGCGGGGGAGCACA